GACCGGGGGGGUGCUAAUACAUGCAAGUCGAACGCGUUGGCCCAAUUGAUUGAUGGUGCUUGCACCUGAUUGAUUUUGGUCGCCAACGAGUGGCGGACGGGUGAGUAACACGUAGGUAACCUGCCCAGAAGCGGGGGACAACAUUUGGAAACAGAUGCUAAUACCGCAUAACAGCGUUGUUCGCAUGAACAACGCUUAAAAGAUGGCUUCUCGCUAUCACUUCUGGAUGGACCUGCGGUGCAUUAGCUUGUUGGUGGGGUAACGGCCUACCAAGGCGAUGAUGCAUAGCCGAGUUGAGAGACUGAUCGGCCACAAUGGGACUGAGACACGGCCCAUACUCCUACGGGAGGCAGCAGUAGGGAAUCUUCCACAAUGGGCGCAAGCCUGAUGGAGCAACACCGCGUGAGUGAAGAAGGGUUUCGGCUCGUAAAGCUCUGUUGUUAAAGAAGAACACGUAUGAGAGUAACUGUUCAUACGUUGACGGUAUUUAACCAGAAAGUCACGGCUAACUACGUGCCAGCAGCCGCGGUAAUACGUAGGUGGCAAGCGUUAUCCGGAUUUAUUGGGCGUAAAGAGAGUGCAGGCGGUUUUCUAAGUCUGAUGUGAAAGCCUUCGGCUUAACCGGAGAAGUGCAUCGGAAACUGGAUAACUUGAGUGCAGAAGAGGGUAGUGGAACUCCAUGUGUAGCGGUGGAAUGCGUAGAUAUAUGGAAGAACACCAGUGGCGAAGGCGGCUACCUGGUCUGCAACUGACGCUGAGACUCGAAAGCAUGGGUAGCGAACAGGAUUAGAUACCCUGGUAGUCCAUGCCGUAAACGAUGAGUGCUAGGUGUUGGAGGGUUUCCGCCCUUCAGUGCCGGAGCUAACGCAUUAAGCACUCCGCCUGGGGAGUACGACCGCAAGGUUGAAACUCAAAGGAAUUGACGGGGGCCCGCACAAGCGGUGGAGCAUGUGGUUUAAUUCGAAGCUACGCGAAGAACCUUACCAGGUCUUGACAUCUUGCGCCAACCCUAGAGAUAGGGCGUUUCCUUCGGGAACGCAAUGACAGGUGGUGCAUGGUCGUCGUCAGCUCGUGUCGUGAGAUGUUGGGUUAAGUCCCGCAACGAGCGCAACCCUUGUUACUAGUUGCCAGCAUUAAGUUGGGCACUCUAGUGAGACUGCCGGUGACAAACCGGAGGAAGGUGGGGACGACGUCAGAUCAUCAUGCCCCUUAUGACCUGGGCUACACACGUGCUACAAUGGACGGUACAACGAGUCGCGAACUCGCGAGGGCAAGCAAAUCUCUUAAAACCGUUCUCAGUUCGGACUGCAGGCUGCAACUCGCCUGCACGAAGUCGGAAUCGCUAGUAAUCGCGGAUCAGCAUGCCGCGGUGAAUACGUUCCCGGGCCUUGUACACACCGCCCGUCACACCAUGAGAGUUUGUAACACCCAAAGUCGGUGGGGUAACCUUUUAGGAGCCAGCCGCCUAAGGUGACCAGA
rnacentral:rRNA from 1 species